UAUUGGGAAAAAAUCCAAACCAGUACUUUUGGGAAUGAUUGCACUCAUUAGCAUUUAUCACUGACCAAAAAUAGCAAUACUUCAUUAAACCCAAAUGAUCACUCAGAGAGUUUAUAGCUUGUUGCAGUCUCCAAGUAAUAAACUAUGUUUAGAUGCUACCUGUUGCUUAGCCUGAUAGCAGAUCUGUAUGUGCUGUAACCAACUCCCUUGUCAUUCGUUGUCAUACCAUACAUGUUUGCCAUGACAACAAGCACAUCAGAGGACUUGGCUAAAACCCAGGCUGAUCUGCUACCAGGCUACAUGGUGCUGCCCAUCCCUGACUCAACAUAUGAAGGUGAAUGGAUGAAGAACAUGGAGACAGGUCUCCGUUGGAUAAGUUAAAACCCAGAACCGAGUCAGCAGUAUCAAAGACCAACAGCCUAGGUCCAGUCUCUCAACGGUGCCCAUCAUAAUAUUAUGCCGGUGAUGCCAUCAACACCACACCUCUACUUCUAGUUGGAAGGCAGACAGAAACUACCUGUACUCUGAAAGAUAAUAGUUUUAUCCGCUUCUGUAUUAAAACGCUUUCUGUGAUUUCAUUAUUCUCUGAGGGGAUGUUAUUCUCUGUUUGGCUUUUAUGCUUUCUUACAAAUGUUCCUCUGGACAAAAGUUGAAUUAAAAGGUGGGUUAUUAAUCUGAUGUCAGGGGCAUGCUGAAUAAAACUAUUAUUCAGCCUGACUCAGUCCAUGCGAAAGAGAGAGAGAAAGAUGGAGAUGAACACAGAGAGAGUGUGAGAGAGAAAGAUGGAGAUGAACACAGAGAGAGUGUGAGAGAGAAAGAUGGAGAUGAACACAGAGAGAGUGUGAGUGAGAAAGAUGGAGAUGAACACAGAGAGAGUGUUGAGAGAGAAAGAUGGAGAUGAACACAGAGAGAGUGUGAGAGAGAAAGAUGGAGAUGAACACAGAGAGAGUUGUGAGAGAGAAAGAUGGAGAUGAACACAGAUUGUGAAAGAGAAAGAUGGAGAUGAACACAGAGAGAGUGUGAGUGAGAAAGAUGGAGAUGAACACAGAG
rnacentral:lncRNA from 1 species